UCAGCCUAUCAUCUGGCUUCUUACAUGACAGUGGGCUCAGCCUAUCAUCCGGCUUCUUACAUGACAGUGGGCUCAGCCUAUCAUCGGCCGAGGCGGGACAUCGCUGCGGCCAGUGAUAGGCUGAAGGCUCUGUGACGUUCCCAUCCCCAGGACCGCAGCAAGAACAGCUGAGAACAGUGAGGCCGGUUCCUUAGCAACGGGGGAACAGAGAACAAAGAUGUAAAGAAUGUAUGUACCUACCAUAUAGUGGAGAAGCAGCCUGUGUGUCGCUGAAGGACAUUGGGAUAGUAAAACAUAAUGACAGCAGGCUAUGCGUGGUAUCCAAGCCCUUUCUUCUAUAUACUCCAGAUGAUUUCCAGCAGGCUAUAUGUCCUAUCCAAGCCCUUUCUUCUAUAUACUCCAGAUGAUUUCCAGCAGGCUAUGUGUCCUAUCCAAUCCCUUUCUUCUAUAUUCUAUAUUUCACCUAUAGAUGUCACAAGUAACAGCUGUACUGAAAUCCUAAUAAAUGCCAAAGUAAAAUAAUGGAGGUUCUUUCACAUCACUGGAAACGUCUUCACUGCUGGUAAGAAAGAAAAGGAAAUAUCUAAAUAAAAAAAAUAAAAUGAAAAAAAAAAAAA